ensembl:snoRNA Small nucleolar RNA SNORA5
UGCAGCCUUGUCAAAUUCAGUGCUCUGUCUUCAGUCUGUGGCACUGGCCAAAAGGCUGCCACAGUAAAGUGUAGUUCAUGGGCCUCAUUGGUUUAAACCUGAUCUAUGUGGAUAAAUAUGUACUACACACAAUC